AUUUUUCAAACUGAAUCUUGAUUCAGUGUCUAGCAUGCCAUGGGGAAGGAGUGAAAACACACCCUGAUGAAAACCCAUCCAGAGUCAGCACAUUUGAGAAGUUCCACUGUGAGCAUCAAGAGCUCACCACCUCCAAAAGCACACGGCCUGGACAGCCACUCCCUGAAGCAAAUCUGCCAUGUAUCCAUAUAUUCAUGCUGUACUGGGAGAAACAGUUGGAUAGGGGCAUGGUGUUUGUCUUCACAAAGCUCACAGGACUGAGAUGAUGACGUAAGGAAGUAGUCACAAGGCAGUAUGGAUAGCAGGCAAGAACUGGGGUCCCGGGGCCGCACUGCCUGGAUUCCAAGCCUGAUUUUGCAUGCAUGACUUGAGACUUCAGGGGCAAGUCCAGCCAGUCAGCAAGCCACCUGAAUUUACAGGAGUGACAUUUCCACGUUAUUCAAAUUCAAAACAAGCCUACUCGGUGAACCUCAGCCCCAAGGAAUUCACAGUGCUCUACAUCGACUCCCAAUUUGCAAUUCUAGCAUCUCACUGAGACCAGGCAGUACAGAAAGAGACCUUGUGUUUUGUGACAAGUUCUUCUUUCAAGUCUUCAUGCUCAAAGAGAAUUGACUACAGAGUGUCAGGUGUCCUUCAGCUGAGAUUUAACAAGCAGCUCUCUGCCCUUGCAUUCUAGAAUUCACAUGUAUCAAGCAAGCCAUUCUAUUCCAAUCCUCAGUACCUGGCACACCUCUAUUUAUUUUUCAAGGCUCAAAAUCACAUUACAAGCAUUAUUCCCUCUGUGAAGUCUUCCAUUACCUCUCAACUUCCAGCCAGUCGUGGGAAGCUAGAUGGCCCCUCCUUGGGGCAGCAAUUGAGAUGUCAUCUGUACAGAGCUUAUCACAUGGAACUGUGGCUAUGGGACCGGGCUGAUUCAUGGAGGAGCAUCAGCCACGAUGGUCUGUGCUGUGCCAGAUUCCACUGGACUAAGUUAGUUACCUGCUUCCAGUAGUUAUGCAAACUGACUGGAGGCAGGUAACUAAUGGGUGGUGAAUGCCAAGAAGGUCUGAGAUCUGUGCCCGAAGAGCAAGAGUCAGAUCUGGGUAGUGAGUUUAAGGUCUUAAAUAGGAAAUUAGGAGCAGAGAGAAUUUGGAACAGAUUGGGGAGUGGGGUGGGAGACUUAGGUCUAAGACUUAGGCUAUUAAGAAAACAAAGACAUCAGUCUAGUUCUCUCUGUUCCUGGUGCAAAGAGAUCACAGAAAUUAGAGGCAAAUAAAUAGUUGUCUCUUUUGCCUGUCUGUCUUAACUUCUAGCCUGUGAAUUCAUUGAGGACAUGGCUUAUCUUAAUAUUCCCACCCUAGCAGAGUACCUGGCUGGUUGAAAUAAUGAAUGGGCUGAUGGACUUAGACAUUCAAAUUCAGUACUUAGGGUUGCUACUCCAUAUUUUUUUCUCUGUUAUAUCUAAUUCAGCUUUUAUUUAUAACCUUAUUGUAAAAAUUGUUUCCCUGUGAGACUAUAAUGAAAGUUAUAGUAGAAUUUUACCAAAUGUGACAUUUGUCCUCUUGUUUAUAACAAUCUCUAAGAAAUAUCAUUAUAUUCUAUAUAUUUUUCAUAAAUUUUGAAUUUCCUUUGCAUAUACAUGGUUACUUUUUUGUCCUUGGAAAAUGAGAACUUCAUUUCUUAAUUAUAUUGGACAAAUAUUAACAUGUCUCUUAAUAUCUAAGAAUGCCAUUUGUUACAUAUAUAAGUAGCUGGAUAUAAUGUACACACAUAAUUAAGAUUUAAAUAUAUUUGGACAACUAUUGAAGCAUAUUAUUUUGUAGAUAUUUGUCUCCACCUAUAGAAAACAUUGCCCAUGUAAUUUUAUCAAUUACAUAGAGGCACAAAAUGAUGAAGAUGAGUAAAAUUAACAAUAAAGUAUAUUUGGAUAUUCAUGUUCAAGUGUUAUUUUUAAAAAUUAGCAGAUUUAGCAAUCUGAGACAACAGAAUUGGACCAAAACAGGACCCAAAGUAUGAAGAUGCUAAAAAAAAAUUGGUAAGUUUAAUACCCACUGAUGUUUAUAAGAUAAAUUAUAAAGUAAAGCUGAUUCUUUGUGUACUUUGGAUUUAAAAACAAUAUGAUUUGUAUACAUUGAGGAAAAAAAAAAAACAAGGAAAUGCUCAUAAAAUGCCAUAUGAGGUAGCCUAGAUUUUCAAGCUAGCUUCUGAUGGCUUUCCAGAGCUUUUUGGAUGUUGAUAGUUUUUGUUUGUUUGUUUGUUUUUGUUUUUUGAAUCGGAGUCUCCCGCUGUCACCAGGCUGGAGUGCAGUGGCACCAUCUCAGCUCACUAAAACCUCCACCUCCUUGGUUCAAGUGACCUUCCUGCCUCAGCCUCCCGAGUAGCUGGGACUACAGGUGCACUCCACCAAGCCCAGCUAUUUUUUCUUAUUUUUAGUAGAGAUGGGAUUUCACCAUGUUGGCCAGGAUGGUCUCAAUUUCUUGACCUUGUGAUCCGCCUGCCUCAGCCUCCCAAAGUGCUGGGAUUACAGGCAUGAGCUACUGUGCCCUGCCAGAUGUUGAUAGUUUUAAGGAAAUCAUUUCUCAGACCUUCGACUUUCAAAUGUGCUCCUUUCCAAAAUUGCCGCCUGAGGACUAUAUGGCCUCAGUGUGCUGCUUCUCCUUUGCCAGUCCCAUUUCAUUUUACAAAAUCCUACCAAAGGGACACUUUGGGAAUGCAUAAUUAAAAAACUCUUUGCUGACUCUCCUUGAUUAGAUCUUAAAAGUUAUUUUUGUAGAUUCUUUUAAAAGCAAAACACUUAUGACAAUUACAAGAGAGUUAUAUAUGUAGGUGAAAUCUAUAAAAAGGCUUUCAACUCAAAAUUCAGUAAAAAGUUAUUACUUGCAAGCAUCGAUAAGCAAAUGUGUUUUUUUUGUUUGUUUUACCUUAGAAAACCUAGUGCAGUGCACUGUUUAUGUAAGAUCGAUAAAUAUUGACUUCUCUACCUGACUUGUUAUACAAAUGGAAAAUGUUUGAAACUCAUAAAAUAUUUUACAAUAUUUUCAGCCAGGCCAACAACACAUCAUCAUUUGAUACUGUAUGAAUAAAAUAUUUAGGCCUUAAUUUCUUAAACCAAUUUUAUAAAAUAUCUAUGUAACAAUAGAAAAAUUAAUGUAAUUGUUAUGUAGGCUCUUUAAUGCAAUUUAUCAAAUGAAUCUGAGAGCUUCAACUACUUCUUUAGAAAAAGUGUAAUAUUCUGAAAAGUUCUGUGUAACUGAUAUUAUCUGUAAUUAACAGCUA
rnacentral:lncRNA from 1 species